UGCAAACUUCGUACGAAGUUGUACUGUCAUCGAUUACCCAACUCCAGUAAAUAAUCGAGGAGCAAUGGGGAUCAAAUUCAUCCGGAUUCAUCCGCAUUUUUGUCGACAAAGCAUGUCGACAAGUUACAAGCAUUGCAGACGUCAUAAAAGCAAAAGGUUUAUGGACCAAAUACUAAUAAACAAGAAAACGUUUGCGGCUUGAAAGAAAAUUGUUUCUGCAGAGUACACUUGCAAUAUUUAUUUUUCGUUUACUUCACUGUAAAUAAAGACAAUGAAACAUUAUUUACUAGAAA